GCUGGGCCCAGUGGUGUGCGCCUGUAGUCCUAGCUACUUGGGAGGCUGAGGCAGGAGGAUCACUUGAGCCCAGGAGUUCUGGGCUGUAGUGUCCUAUGCCAAUCGGGUAUCAGCACUAAGUUCAGCAUCAAUACAGUGACCUCAUCUGGGCACAGUGGCUCAUGCCUAUAAUCCCAGCAUUUUAGGAGGCCAAGGUGGGAGGAUCACUUGAGCCUUGGAGUUCGAGGCUGCAGUAAGCUAUGACCAUGCCCACUGCACUCCAGACUUCAGCCUGGGCAACAGAGGCCCUGCCUCUUAAAAAAAAAAAAAAGAAAGAAAAACAUGGUGACCUCCUGGGAGUGAAAGACCAGCAGGUUGCCCAAAAAGGGGUGAACUGGCCCAGGUUGGAAACUCAGCAGGUCAAAACUCCUGUGCUGAUUAGUAGUGGGAUUGCACCUUUGAAUAUCCACUGCACUGCAGCCUGGCCAACACAGUGAGACCCCGUGUCUA
ensembl:misc_RNA Metazoa_SRP Metazoan signal recognition particle RNA